GUACUUGCUUCGGCGGUACAUAUACUAAAAUUGGAACGAUACAGAGAAGAUUAGCAUGGCCCCUGCAUGUGCAUGUGUGUGUGUGUGUAUUCACCUAGUUGU